rnacentral:lncRNA from 1 species
CAUCAUCAAGCCCGGCUGCGUCAACACCGACCCCAUCUUCCCCAACAACAAGCUCACCGGCACCGACGUCGGGUACGCACAGUCGCACACACAUAUGUCAGCGAACUUGUCACGUGCAUGGCUCUCCUUGUACUAAUGGGGCUAAUCAAGUGAUGUCUCCGCGUGUUGGAAACCUAAGGUACCCCGGUGGUCUGUGGUUUGACCCGCUCGGCUACGGCACCGGCUCGCCCGAGAAGCUCAAGGAGCUGCGCACCAAGGAGAUCAAGAACGGCCGCCUCGCCAUGCUCGCCGUCAUGGGCGCGUGGUUCCAGGCCGAGUACACCGGCACCGGCCCCAUCGACAACCUCUUCGCUCACCUCGCCGACCCCGGCCACGCCACCAUCUUCCGGG